rnacentral:rRNA from 1 species
GACGAACGCUGGCGGCGUGCUUAACACAUGCAAGUCGAACGGUGAACGAGGGAGCUUGCUCCCUCCGGAUCAGUGGCGAACGGGUGAGUAACACGUGAGCAAUCUGCCCCGAACUCUGGGAUAAGCGUUGGAAACGACGUCUAAUACCGGAUACGAUCCUGGAGGGCAUCCUCUCCGCGUGGAAAGACCUUCGGUUCGGGAUGAGCUCGGGGCCUAUCAGCUUGUUGGUGGGGUAACGGCUCACCAAGGCGACGACGGGUAGCCGGCCUGAGAGGGUGACCGGCCACACUGGGACUGAGACACGGCCCAGACUCCUACGGGAGGCAGCAGUGGGGAAUAUUGCACAAUGGGCGCAAGCCUGAUGCAGCAACGCCGCGUGAGGGACGACGGCCUUCGGGUUGUAAACCUCUUUUAGCAGGGAAGAAGCGAAAGUGACGGUACCUGAAGAAAAAGCACCGGCUAACUACGUG